UACGUAGGGGGCUAGCGUUGUCCGGAAUCAUUGGGCGUAAAGAGCGUGUAGGCGGCUCGGUAAGUCCGCUGUGAAAGUCCAGGGCUCAACCCUGGAAUGCCAGUGGAAACUGUCGAGCUAGAGUCCGGAAGAGGCGAGUGGAAUUCCUGGUGUAGCGGUGAAAUGCGCAGAUAUCAGGAGGAACACCAAUGGCGAAGGCAGCUCGCUGGGACGGUACUGGACGCUGAGACGCGAAAGCGUGGGGAGCAAACAGG
rnacentral:rRNA from 1 species